rnacentral:rRNA from 1 species
UUAAAUUGAAGAGUUUGAUCAUGGCUCAGAUUGAACGCUGGCGGCAGGCCUAACACAUGCAAGUCGAACGGUAACAGGAAGCAGCUUGCUGCUUUGCUGACGAGUGGCGGACGGGUGAGUAAUGUCUGGGAAACUGCCUGAUGGAGGGGGAUAACUACUGGAAACGGUGGCUAAUACCGCAUAACGUCGCAAGACCAAAGAGGGGGACCUUCGGGCCUCUUGCCAUCAGAUGUGCCCAGAUGGGAUUAGCUAGUUGGUGAGGUAACGGCUCACCAAGGCGACGAUCCCUAGCUGGUCUGAGAGGAUGACCAGCCACACUGGAACUGAGACACGGUUCAGACUCCUACGGGAGGCAGCAGUGGGGAAUAUUGCACAAUGGGCGCAAGCCUGAUGCAGCCAUGCCGCGUGUAUGAAGAAGGCCUUCGGGUUGUAAAGUACUUUCAGCGGGGAGGAAGGUGUUGUGGUUAAUAACCGCAGCAAUUGACGUUACCCGCAGAAGAAGCACCGGCUAACUCCGUGCCAGCAGCCGCGGUAAUACGGAGGGUGCAAGCGUUAAUCGGAAUUACUGGGCGUAAAGCGCACGCAGGCGGUCUGUCAAGUCGGAUGUGAAAUCCCCGGGCUCAACCUGGGAACUGCAUUCGAAACUGGCAGGCUUGAGUCUUGUAGAGGGGGGUAGAAUUCCAGGUGUAGCGGUGAAAUGCGUAGAGAUCUGGAGGAAUACCGGUGGCGAAGGCGGCCCCCUGGACAAAGACUGACGCUCAGGUGCGAAAGCGUGGGGAGCAAACAGGAUUAGAUACCCUGGUAGUCCACGCCGUAAACGAUGUCUACUUGGAGGUUGUGCCCUUGAGGCGUGGCUUCCGGAGCUAACGCGUUAAGUAGACCGCCUGGGGAGUACGGCCGCAAGGUUAAAACUCAAAUGAAUUGACGGGGGCCCGCACAAGCGGUGGAGCAUGUGGUUUAAUUCGAUGCAACGCGAAGAACCUUACCUGGUCUUGACAUCCACAGAACUUUCCAGAGAUGGAUUGGUGCCUUCGGGAACUGUGAGACAGGUGCUGCAUGGCUGUCGUCAGCUCGUGUUGUGAAAUGUUGGGUUAAGUCCCGCAACGAGCGCAACCCUUAUCCUUUGUUGCCAGCGAUUAGGUCGGGAACUCAAAGGAGACUGCCAGUGAUAAACUGGAGGAAGGUGGGGAUGACGUCAAGUCAUCAUGGCCCUUACGACCAGGGCUACACACGUGCUACAAUGGCGCAUACAAAGAGAAGCGACCUCGCGAGAGCAAGCGGACCUCAUAAAGUGCGUCGUAGUCCGGAUUGGAGUCUGCAACUCGACUCCAUGAAGUCGGAAUCGCUAGUAAUCGUGGAUCAGAAUGCCACGGUGAAUACGUUCCCGGGCCUUGUACACACCGCCCGUCACACCAUGGGAGUGGGUUGCAAAAGAAGUAGGUAGCUUAACCUUCGGGAGGGCGCUUACCACUUUGUGAUUCAUGACUGGGGUGAAGUCGUAACAAGGUAACCGUAGGGGAACCUGCGGUUGGAUCACCUCCUUACCUGAAAGAA